UACGUAGGGGGCAAGCGUUGUCCGGAUUCAUUGGGCGUAAAGAGCGUGUAGGCGGCCAGGUAGGUCGGUUGUGAAAACUGGAGGCUCAACCUUCAGACGUCGACCGAAACCAUCUGGCUAGAGUCCGGGAGAGGAGAGUGGAAUUCCUGGUGUAGCGGUGAAAUGCGCAGAUAUCAGGAAGAACACCAGUGGCGAAAGCGGCUCUCUGGGACGGUACUGACGCUGAGACGCGAAAGCGUGGGGAGCGAACAGG
rnacentral:rRNA from 1 species